rnacentral:rRNA from 1 species
UACGGAGGGGGCUAGCGUUGUUCGGAAUUAUUGGGCGUAAAGGGCGCGUAGGCGGCCUUGUAAGUCAAAGGUGAAAUCCCUCGGCUCAACUGAGGAACUGCCUUUGAAACUGCAAGGCUUGAGGCCGGGAGGGGGUAGCGGAAUUCCCAAUGUAGCGGUGAAAUGCGUAGAUAUUGGGAGGAACACCAGUGGCGAAGGCGGCUACCUGGACCGGUUCUGACGCUGAGGCGCGAAAGCGUGGGUAGCAAACAGG